rnacentral:rRNA from 1 species
CGGACGGGUGAGUAACGCGUGGGUAACCUGCUUGUACUGGGGGACAACAGUUAGAAAUGACUGCUAAUACCGCAUAAGCGCACAGUAUCGCAUGAUACAGUGUGAAAAACUCCGGUGGUACAAGAUGGACCCGCGUCUGAUUAGCUAGUUGGUAAGGUAAGGCUUACCAAGGCGACGAUCAGUAGCCGACCUGAGAGGGUGACCGGCCACAUUGGGACUGAGACACGGCCCAA